UACGAAGGUGGCAAGCGUUGUUCGGAUUUACUGGGCGUAAAGGGAGCGUAGGCGGUUGGGUAAGCCCUCUGGGAAAUCUCCCGGCUUAACCGGGAAAGGUCAGAGGGGACUGCCUGACUAGAGGACGGGAGAGGAGCGCGGAAUUCCCGGUGUAGCGGUGAAAUGCGUAGAGAUCGGGAGGAAGGCCGGUGGCGAAGGCGGCG
rnacentral:rRNA from 1 species